CAUGUCCACAUUGCAAACACAGGGCCAGUUCUGUACCAUUUUAACCAUCAUGGCUCCCCUGCAAAGACUCUUGGGACUCUGGAACGAUCAGUCGGCAAAGGGGCCAGGAAUUCUAAGACACCCCUAGGCCCAAUCCCACGGAAUGGCAGAAUGUCCCUUGCGGCAAAAGAUCCGACUCGGAAUCCAGUUUAAAGUCAGUUGUGUAGAUUUCCUCCAAGAAUCCUGACACCCAACACAAGCUCUUCCCAAAACUAGACAACAACACCAGGAGUCAAGACUGAAUUCGCCUUCAGUUCCCGACCUGACUCCGACCAUUAAGCCGUAUUCCAAACCUGCGUUCAAAACCGACUCGAGAAACCUUCCAUCCUGGUAACCUGAUGGCUCUAAACAUUUCUUGCAGGGAGAAAGAAACACAAAACCUGUUUUCUUUUGCAAAAUGCUUCCCUGCAAGAGAAAGCCCCUUCUCAUCCUUUGCCGGAGCAAAACCUACCAACUUUUUAUUGCGGGGGACCAAAAUGAUGGAAAUUUGGGCGCAGAAAAUAGACGGGUGAGAAAGCAACAUCUCGAUUCUUCCCUUCCACACUCCAUAUCGUGUCUCCGCCUUUAAUGGCACAAAAGAGGGGUUUGCAUUGUAGGUUGAAGGGGGGGAGAAAGAUAAGAAAGGUGAAGGGAAUAAAUAACCCAGGAUCAACACUGUGCCAUAUAGGAAAAUCCCCCCAACCCCAAUUCCCCCACUUCUAUCACUAAGAAUCUGUAGCAGAGCUGUCCGGGAUAAGGGAAGAGAUUUAUUUUCUAUCAAAAAAAAAUAUUUUGGGGGGUGUCAUUGCAAUGAAAGUCAAAGACAGGAAUAUCAGACCCUCACUGCAUAUAAUAUAAUGUAUAUAUACCUCUCUCUCUCUCUCUCUCUCUCACACACACACACACACACACACACAGUGUUUUCAACAUACAGGUGACAUCACAAUGCGUUGCCAUGGAAAACGACAUUAAGUAUUACAAGAUCAAAGAUGUUGAGGCAAAGUAGAGAGAUGUAUUCCUCGGUUUUUUUAUGUGGCAAGGGG